GGAGAAGGGAAACGAGAGUAGGCACGGUCCUUGGGAGGUAUCCACCGUCUCUACAGGUGUGUCUGGCUCGGAGUAAUCGGGGUCGAGUAACAGGGACCGCUUCCAGGCCUCGCUGAAUAUCUUGAGAAGACUUGGCCUGUUGGUGUUUGAAAAGAACUCACGGUGGGGCACAGCCUUGACAGGGCAGCCAGUGGGGGGAUCUGGACUCUGGGCCCCCUUCUUGUGGGCUGUUUCCAGAGAGCUGGACCAGAUACCUUGUAUGUGAGCAGCAGACUGGACAUUACAGAUGGUAUUAGAUAACAAACUCAGGCGGACCUGGUGCAGGUUUUCCAGUUGAGCCACCUGAUCGGGGGUGGUGUGCCUGAAGCAUUGCCUGGCAAAGAAAUGAAGGUAAAAGUCUAUGCCCAUGAUCUUGCUAGAGUUUAUUUUCUCAGUAAUGAGAUGGUUUAGUCCCGCGUUAGAGAAGAUUUGCAACAUAUCACAGAUUGUUAUGUAGGUUGCGGACCAGGUCACGGGGGCAUGCAGCACGUAGAAGCAGAGGGUCGCAUACUCACUAAAAAAAGAAUCAGGGGGAUUGUGUUCCAGCACAGCUUCGAAAAGCAUGUUACAUAUCUUGCACUUGGAAGUGGGCAACAACGUGCUUGAGAUAUGAGUGAGUGUGGGAUCAUGAAAGCCUGUUUCUGGUGUGGCAGGUAGGUAGGAUUUAGAAAGUAACAUCUGCAUGAUUGAAUCGUGGGAGGUGACUGUCUCUAGAGACCAUGGUACGUACAUCUUCACCACUCGAUGGCGGCCAGUGUAUUUGAGAGGAAGGAUAGCUGUGUUAAAUACCUCCUGAGUCAUGGGGGGCAAUGGUGAUAGCUUUGCAUAUCCUCAGCUUUUAGAUUUUGAGGACAUAUUUACCGAGGACAUAGAUUCAUAUUUUUCCACAACCUAUGUAAAGUUUCACUUUUUGAACUACUGUAUCUUUUUGACCUGGUUUAUUAGUCAUAGGCACACUGAAAAGGGAUGUGUCCAUGGUCUUAUAUUUGACAGAAAGCUGUCAGCGGUCAGGGAUACCAUAUUGACCCUGGUGGACACUGAUCGGCUCAUAGACGGACAUGGCUAACCAGAAGAAGCUGAUAGACGAGCUCUGUGGGAUUGUUACUUCUUUUCUAUGUCCCCAGGGGAUUGUGCCAGAGAUUGAAAAAUGUUCUACAAAGCUGCCUCAUUUUUCUAAAGGUGGAACAAAGCCUGUGUGCACAGUGAGGCUCCAGCAUGGCCACACUUAUCACAUUGAGUUUGUGUACAAGUUUUGGCAGCACAUUUUGGGCCAGCUUCGCCUGCCCCUACAGCCUUGCUUUAUUUUGACAAAUAACGGCUUGGCCACCACUUUGAAAUGUUUUAUGAGCCCGCCAAGGGAUAUAGACUUUCAGUAUGGCAACAGGGUCAAUAUGGCCUGCGAUGUGAAUUUGGAGAAAAACUCUUGUGUUAUCAUAGAGGACGAGGAUUUCCUGAGGUUCAAGAGCUACCAUGUGUUUCCCAAGGACGUACCAAUCUAUAACUCUAUGGUGGUAUGUAGAACCUACAUCACUGAUAUGAGGAACGCAGUACAAUUUUUUGUGGUCAAGCCUGGAAACAGGAGAAAGAUUGUGCAUAUGUUGGAAAGUAUUGAGGAGAUGCCUGAAACCCCACAACAGUUGUAUUUUUGUGGUGGACGUGGGUAUAAGAUGAUAGGGGCUGGGCUCUCCCUCUUCUUUUUUGCAGCCAUAGUGGCGCUGGCCAGUAAACUAGUAUGGUGAUGGGGGCCUUGGACUAUCUGCGCUUGAUGAAUAUUUCAGUGGAUGAGUUUAGAAGCUUUUGUAUCUAUGGCCACCUCAGUGGGCAGCGUGGAUGGGGUGAGCUGUUGUUGAGCAAUCUUUCAUUUAAAAGAGCAGUGUGCCAUAUACUGAAAAUACAGUGUGAGACUAAGAAGAGGUGGACAAACAAGGUAUUGGUGGCGAAUAGUGCGUUGUCCCUACUGACCCUCUUCAGGAUGGUUCUUCAUGAAUGUGUUUUUUCACACAAAUAUUUUAUACCUGACAGGAUCGAGGACAUGUGUUUCCCGCUGACCAAAAUACUCACUGUGCCCUUCCUCAAGGCCCUAGAUCUGUAUCUCUCCCAGUUUUCCAUCUCAUGCAAGUUUCCCAUAAUUAAAAUAUCCACUGUGAAUCCUA
rnacentral:tmRNA from 1 species